UUAUUUAUUACAGGUUGUGCCGAUACGAAGGCCUGACUCUCCAACGGGUCACCUGCACAGCAAGAGCAAGAGCAGGACCGCCAGCCCGCCUCGGCCCCUCAGCCCGCCCCAAAGCUCCCUCCAUGGCCUCCUGCAGGGCUUGAGGUGUUCAGGCUCCCCACACUGCUGCCCCACGCAGUGCCAGGGCAGUGCCACACCUGUAAUCUGCGGCGCCAUGCCCGGUCUGAGGGCGCCGCUGGACUGGAGUUGCCGGAGCCAGUGUUGACGUCGGACAUGAUGCCACACUUUGAGGACGUAGCGAUCAUUCCUAACCCCGGGGAGCGCGCCGAGGCCAUGCGCCAGCUGAUCAACCGCCUGCCAACCGCCAACCGCCUGCUGCUACAAUACAUGUUCAAGCAUAUGGGACACAUCAUUGCAAGGCAUCUUGUCAGCCGUCCCAGCCUCUCGUCACCCUAUCCCCGCUGGACUCUGGGUAAAGACGUGACCAACCCCCAGCCUCCAGCCUCUUGUCACACCUCCUAGCCUUUCCCCGCUGGACAUUGCUUCGAGACGUGAUGAGCAACAACAGCCUCCAGCAUUUGCCACACCUCCGAGCCUCUCUCCUCGUCAUUUGCCCGGUGGACCCUGGACGAGGAGGACGUGAGGAAGAGGAGGUGAAGAUGAAGACGAGGAAUAAGUGGAUGUGUAAACAAGUCUGGUUUUGAAGUCAACAGUAUCUAAUGUCACCUGAAAAUGUCUGAACAAGAACAAGCGUGUGCUGCAUGGUGGUGGUGGUCGUCAUGGAAGCAGAGAUGCGAAGAUUCAACCGUUUACAGAUUCCACAUGGCAGAAGGUGCAGACUAUUCCAUGGAGUCGACUGAAAUAUGGAGGCACUUCAAAGUAUUGCGACGUAGCUGCAUCUCUGCCUCCGGAACUAAACAGCUCUCGCCCUGGGUACGUACCACAAGCAUUGCCAUAGUUGUUCGAUCCCUGGCUCUUAGUGGUGAUCAUUAAUGGAAGAGGAGCGAAGAAGCGCAAAAGAGAGGGAAAAAAGAUCAGUCGGUCGGCGUGCUGGUCGGUCGGUAGUGGGCGUCCGCGGGGUCAGUCGGCAUGGCGUGGCUGGUGAGUUUAAGCAAAUAUUCUUCCUCCCUGUGCUUGUAGGUCCGCCGCGGGUUCCUUCGUGUUUAUCCCAAUAUACAUAAUGUUGAAUCAUGUACGGACGGGCGGACGGACUGACGGGGAGCUGCUGUACGUGUGUGUGUGUAUGUGUGUGUGUGUGU